UGGAGUAUCGCUUCCUGCCCCCGCCUCCCCUCCCCGCCCCGUUCUCUGUCCUAUUGAAACACCUCGCCCAGCCUGGCGCACAGCAAGCUCACAUUCUGCCCCUGGCUCGGGAUGGCGUGCCUGGAGGCUCUGCAGCCGGGCUCCACUUCAAAUGGCUGAAACUGUUCCUUGAGUCAUUUACGCACUGACUUCAGUUCCCUUUGGGGGUCCCAACACGAUACCGUUGAUCUACUGAUGGCUCCACUGGAGAGCCCCCUCCAUGGAGCUACCCCUGAAGAUCUGCCUAUUAAGAAAAACCCUUGGGCAGAACCACACCCCCCCACCUCAGGAAUGUCUUCCCAGGGAAAGGACAAGGACUGCAGAAACUGCUAGACUGAUGAAUUCUCAUGCCAACUGUGAAGUUGAAACAAAGACAGUGACCAUCUGAAGACUUUUCUCCUGCCCAGCAGCAGCACACCCACAUGGUGCAGUUUCAGCCAAUAGCAGUCUUUGCAAGAAACAGAAAAGCCCAAACCUCUCAGGAGCCAAGAACUUCCCCUUCCUCCUGUGCAUUCCUCUGUUUGUACUUAAAUUCCUGUGCUGUUCAGUUUUGAUCCUCAUAUGGCUGUGCUUAUUCAUGCACCAGGGUAAACUCUAACUUUGCACAAAUGUUAUGGGGCUGAAUUUUCUGAGAAGAAUGGUUUUGUUAACACAGUGUUUAUUCCUAAGAGUUACUAGAGAAUGAAAAGUUCUUGGGAAGACAAAAAGCAGUUACAGGAGAUCCACAGGGAGAGACUGGGAGAGACGCUUACUAGAGCACAGAAAUGCCACAUUAUGCCACCUGUCUCUGAGUAGCAAGCUUGGCUGUGUGACACACGCCAGCUGCUUCAAAGAACUAAAUCUGGCUGGACAAAGGUAUGCUUUUGAAAUGGCAGUGACAAUUUGUAUCAGUAGCUGAUGAAGCAUCUACUGAAAGGAAAGAGAAAAUUAGAUCAGAGGUGGCGACCACAAACAUGCAAAGCUGGCUUGCUUAAGGAAGAAUGUUCUCAAGAGAGAAAAGGAGAAAAACCUUAACGGAUGUCAAAAUUUUAGAUAAAAGGGAAGGUAGGAUAAAAGAGACCCUUAGGUCAGCAUAGUAGUGAGCACAGCCAUGACAGAGGAAAUCCACAUUGUAAGUUUUGGAGAUUACAAAUACUCAUAUCAAUUUGAUUUCACCCAAUAUUUAGCACCUCUCUCUAUAAGAGCCUAGUAAAGACGGUGUACACACAUACUUCUGUUCCUCCCACCCCAGGUGUUACCUAGAAUGAGAGCCAUUUUUCUUUAUCAUUAAAGCACAGUGAGGGUGAUUAUUAAUACAGGUGGAGAGGGAGCUCAUGAGUUUUUGUUCAUAGUUGGUAUUUACUGAGUUGUUAGUACAGAGGAAGCAUUUUGCAUGUAGACAUCCGGAAAAUUAGAUAUUAGUAUCCCCACGUCACAGGCAAUAGAACUGAGGUUGGAUGACGUUAGGUGACUGGACACGGUGCUGUGUACAGAGGCUCACGUUCAAGGUCAUGAUGGCAAUGCUAAAGAGCUGAAAGACCAAGCCAUAAUUUGUGAUCAGUGCUAAUAAUACAUUUACUUUCCUUCCAUUCCUUAAUAUCCGUCUGUAGGAAACCAGUUGCUCUUCUACUUACUUGUGACUUUGGCCCUUUUCCUUCUUAUGUUACAUGACACUAGAAUGAUAAAAUGCAUUUUUGUGAUAGAAAAAUGGCAAUUUAGGGGAGUAGAGCUUGCCAGCAUUUUAGUUAUUUUUUUUUUUAUUUUUGCUAGACAUGAUGGCAUUUUUCUGCUUAGUUCUGUAUGAAGCCUCGGAGUUCUGAGAAUACAAAGGAGAUGGGUUUAAGUUCACUAUUUUACUAUCCUUUUGACAGGGAAGAUAAAUUGAUAGCCUAUAAACAGAGUGAUUUAUAAAAAAGCCAUGUUUGGAUGUGGCAGAGUAAGAACCAGAAACUGGUCCUCUGUUCCCUUUCAGUGGCUCUUGAACCACUUUACUCUUCCCAAAAGAAGUGAGAACUUGAAUUUGAUUAAGGUAUGUGGCAGAUCAGGGAGAAUUGGCUUCAAUCCCAUCUCUCCUUGGCAGCCCACUUCAAUGUGAAAUACAGCUAAUUCUGAACCAACAUCUUUAGGUCUAGAAGUUGUCAAUGCUCUGUCCCUAAAGAGCACAAAGUUUCCAAAGUUUCAUGUGUACUUUAUCUUUAAUGAUAUCCUCCAGUCGUGAAAUUCUUCAUUUACCUGCACAGAUCAAACAUUCCAGUUGCUUCUCAAUCUACUUGAUGCACAGUAGACAUUUGCAAAUGCUUCUGUAGGGAUGUUUAUCCAUGACUUUUCCAGUAACACGUAAGUCUUUAAAAAAUUAAUUUUCUGUUAUAAUUCCCAUUUAUCCUGUUACGGCUUCUAGAAUGCUUUGACCACAGAAAGCCAAAACUAUGAAAUCCCACUCUUCCUUUCCAGCUGCUUCUCCUUUGUUGACAUUUAGCAAUGAUUUUAAAAAGUAUAACACAUACACUCUGUGUAAUUCUGUCUUGAAGGCUGGGCAUACUAAAGGACAGACACCUACAUUUUUGAGGUACCUAAAUCUGUAGCUGUUGUAAAUUUCCAUUUGUAUGUCUGAUAAUGUCACAGAUAAUUCUCUUCGUGGCUCUGGCUGUCUUGUUUUCAAAAAUGCUUGUUGGUCAUACCAUAAACUGUUCUUACUGAGUUUAUAAAUAAACGAGGUGUUUCUUUUAAGAAUAGUUAAGCAGGAAGUGUGACUUUGUUGAUAUUUUAUGAGACUGUCAUGUGUCCCUGACUCCCAAUAAAGGAACUAUUGCACCAUU